GGGUGAGUAACACGUAUGGAACCUGCCCGUAGCAGGGGGAUAAGCGGAAGAAAUUCCGUCUAAUACCGCGUAAUAACUCCGAGAGGCAUCUCCUGGGGUUUAAAGGGUAACACCGGCUACGGAUGGCCAUGCGGCGCAUUAGCUAGUUGGCGGGGUAACGGCCCACCAAGGCGACGAUGCGUAGGGGUUCUGAGAGGAAGGUCCCCCACACUGGUACUGAGACACGGACCAGACUCCUACGGGAGGCAGCAGUGAGGAAUAUUGGUCAAUGGGCGCGAGCCUGAACCAGCCAAGUCGCGUGAGGGAAGACGGUCCUAUGGAUUGUAAACCUCUUUUGUCGGGGAGCAAAAGACGCCACGCGUGGCGUUCCGAGAGUACCCGAAGAAAAAGCAUCGGCUAACUCCGUGCCAGCAGCCGCGGUAAUACGGAGGAUGCGAGCGUUAUCCGGAUUUAUUGGGUUUAAAGGGUGCGCAGGCGGAAGAUCAAGUCAGCGGUAAAAUUGAGAGGCUCAACCUCUUCGAGCCGUUGAAACUGGUUUUCUUGAGUGAGCGAGAAGUAUGCGGAAUGCGUGGUGUAGCGGUGAAAUGCAUAGAUAUCGCGCAGAACUCCGAUUGCGAAGGCAGCAUACCGGCGCUCAACUGACGCUCAUGCACGAAAGUGUGGGUAUCGAACAGGAUUAGAUACCCUGGUAGUCCACACAGUAAACGAUG
rnacentral:rRNA from 1 species